rnacentral:rRNA from 1 species
GAACGCUAGCGGUAGGCAUAACACAUGCAAGUCGAGCGAGGCUUUAAGUCGAGCGGCGAACGGCUGAGUAACACGUUGGUACCUACCCCGAAGUGAGGGAUAACUGUGAGAAAUCACAGCUAAUACCGCAUAUGCCGGCAACGGUAAAGCUACGGCGCUUCGGGAGGGACCUGCGACGUAUCAGGUAGUUGGUGAGGUAAUAGCUCACCAAGCCUAUGACGCGUAGCUGGUGUGAGAGCACGACC